ACAUGUCCAAAACUACAUGUCUUUCAUAUGGAAUCAAUUCUUCUUGAAUUGUAUCUCUUCCAUUUGGCCAAUAGUUUUGUUUGUAUUCGACAAACAUCAGAUCCUCAUCGAUAUUUAGCGCUAUCAUAGAUGUCGUCGACAAUCAUUUAUAUCGGUUUCAGUCAAUUUUCAUAAAGACAUAACAUGGAGAUCUCUUCAUUCAU
rnacentral:lncRNA from 1 species